AACCAUAGAAACCUGCGGAGUACCUGCGGAGGGAUCAUUACAGAGUUGCAAAACUCCCACAAACCAUCGCGAAUCUUACCCGUACGGUUGCCUCGGCGCUGGCGGUCCGGAAGGCCCUCGGGCCCCCGGACCCUCGGGUCCCCCGCUCGCGGGGGGCUGCCCGCCGGAGUGCCGAAACCAAACUCUUGAUAUUUUAUGUCUCUCUGAGUAAACUUUUAAAUAAGUCAGAACUUUCAACAA
rnacentral:misc_RNA from 1 species